GAUGAACGCUAGCGGCAGGCCUAAUACAUGCAAGUCGAACGGGAUCCAGAUCAAAGCUUGCUUUGGUUUGGUGAGAGUGGCGCACGGGUGCGUAACGCGUGAGCAACCUACCCUUGUCAGGGGGAUAGCCCGGCGAAAGUCGGAUUAAUACCGCAUGACAUCAUUGAGAGGCAUCUUUCGAUGAUCAAAGAUUUAUCGGACAAGGAUGGGCUCGCGUGACAUUAGCUAGUUGGUAAGGUAACGGCUUACCAAGGCUACGAUGUCUAGGGGCUCUGAGAGGAGAAUCCCCCACACUGGUACUGAGACACGGACCAGACUCCUACGGGAGGCAGCAGUAAGGAAUAUUGGUCAAUGGACGGAAGUCUGAACCAGCCAUGCCGCGUGCAGGAAGACGGCCCUAUGGGUUGUAAACUGCUUUUAUACGGGAACAAACGUCGGUACGUGUACCGGUCUGAGUGUACCGUAAGAAUAAGGAUCGGCUAACUCCAUG
rnacentral:rRNA from 1 species